rnacentral:lncRNA from 1 species
GAAAAAGUAAACUUAUUGGUUUGAGUGACUAAAAUGUCCAGGCAUAGAGUUUCAGGCAUAACUGGCUCCAGGUGCUCAAACGAAGGAUUCAGGAAUCUUCCUUUCAUGUCUCAGUUUCUCCCUCCAUGGUAACAAAAGUGGCCCCUUAAAGCUCCCAAACAGGAACCCACCAGCUUAGGAACCCCAGCAGAAAGAGGAAUCCUUUUUUCUUUGGAGGCCGAGG